rnacentral:rRNA from 1 species
UACGAAGGGGGGCUAGCGUUGUUCGGAUUUACUGGGCGUAAAGCGCGUGUAGGCGGGUCGUUAAGUUGGGGGUGAAAUCCCGAGGCUCAACCUCGGAACUGCCUUCAAAACUGGCGACCUGGACUCAAGUAGAGGCAAGUGGAAUUGCGAGUGUAGAGGUGAAAUUCGUAGAUAUUCGCAGGAACACCAGUGGCGAAGGCGACUUGCUGGACUUGUAGUGACGCUGAGACGCGAAAGCGUGGGGAGCAAACAGG